UGAUGCCUCUAUUGAGAGGACUUCAACCAACACAAGAUCCAAGCAAAUAGGUCAAUAUAUGAUGAGUUUCGAAGAAAAUACCAGUUGAAGAUGAACUUAAUGGAUUUCAAAAAUUAAAUGCACAGUCAUGAUGCCUCUAUUGAGAGGACUUCAACCAACACAAGAUCCAAGCAAAUAGGUCAAUAUAUGAUGAGUUUCGAAGAAAAUACCAGUUGAAGAGCAAACUUGAAUUCUGGAGAUUUG
rnacentral:lncRNA from 1 species